rnacentral:rRNA from 1 species
AUGAACGCUGGCGGCGUGCUUAACACAUGCAAGUCGAGACGAGUGAAGUUUCCUUCGGGAACGGUAUUUAGCGGCGGACGGGUGAGUAACGACGGUGGGUAACCUAGCCUCAGUAAGAGUGGAAUAGCCGUUCCGGAAAGGGAGUAUUAAGUAACCGGCAUAAUGUUGAAAGAUGGCAUCCAAUCGAUUCAACCGAAGGAGUCAACUCCGCUAAUUGAGACUGGACCCUGGGGCUCACUUAGGCGUUAGGUUCGGUCGGGGUUAACGGCCCUACCGAAGGCCGACGUACUAGCGUAGCCGACCUGAGAGGUGACUCGGCCACAUUGGGACUGAGACACGGUCCCAG